AGCGUGUUUGCACUCUUGCUUUGUACCGCUUUAAUAGUCACAACCAUAACUGAAGCUCACCCAAUGAGUAACAGUCAACGCUGCCUCUGCGAAGGGGUAACUCAAGCCAGUGUGGCUGCCAGAAACGUCCAGGCCUACAAAGUGUACCCAGAGAGCCUGGCGUGUGACAGAAUCGAAAUCCUCGUGCAGCUGAAGACAGGCCGAGUUGUGUGCCUCAAUCCGAACUCCAAGAUUGGGCAGGCGAUGAAACAAAGAGCCAGA